UACGUAGGUGUCAAGCGUUGUCCGGAUUUAUUGGGCGUAAAGCGCCCGCAGGCGGCUUGCCAAGUUCGAUGUGAAAUCUCCCGGCUCAACUGGGAGGGUGCAUCGAAAACUGGCAGGCUUGAGGCAGGGAGAGGGAUGUGGAAUUCCAGGUGUAGUGGUGAAAUGCGUAGAUAUCUGAAGGAACACCAGUGGCGAAGGCGGCAUCCUGGCCCUGUCCUGACGCUCAGGGGCGAAAGCGUGGGGAGCAAACCGG
rnacentral:rRNA from 1 species